rnacentral:rRNA from 1 species
CUUGGUCAUUUAGAGGAAGUAAAAGUCGUAACAAGGUCUCCGUAGGUGAACCUGCGGAGGGAUCAUUACACAAUAUGAAAGCGGGCUGGAUACUCUGUAGUAGUGCAUUGCUUUACGGCGUGCGCUGCUGGAGAGCCUAGCCUUGCUGAAUUAUUCACCCGUGUCUUUUGCGUACUUCUUGUUUCCUUGGUGGGCUCGCCCGCCACAAGGACAACUCAUAAACCUUUUGUAAUAGCAAUCAGCGUCAGUAACAACAUAAUAAUUACAACUUUCAACAACGGAUCUCUUGGUUCUGGCAUCGAUGAAGAACGCAGCGAAAUGCGAUACGUAGUGUGAAUUGCAGAAUUCAGUGAAUCAUCGAAUCUUUGAACGCACAUUGCGCCCUUUGGUAUUCCAAAGGGCAUGCCUGUUCGAGCGUCAUUUGUACCCUCAAGCUUUGCUUGGUGUUGGGCGUCUUGUCUCCAGUCCGCUGGAGACUCGCCUUAAAGUCAUUGGCAGCCGGCCUACUGGUUUCGGAGCGCAGCACAAGUCGCACUCUUUUCCAGCCAAGGUCAGCGUCCAACAAGCCUUUUUUCAACUUUUGACCUCGGAUCAGGUAGGGAUACCCGCUGAACUUAAGCAUAUCAAUAAGCGGAGGGAA